AAACCCUAAGUUUCGAAAAGUGAAGAAAUCUUUUAGAUAAUUUUGAAAUCUUUUCCAUACUAUGAUACUUUUUAGUUGAAGCAAGAAAUUCAAGAUUUCUUAACUAAUACCGUAAAGAAAGGGGUGUUGGCCAAGAGGAAAAAAUUUCAAAAGAAAACAAGGUUUUUUAGAAGCUCUAAACAAAGUGUUACCUCUUCCAGGAGGUUGCUCCAAAACCAAAACAAGUUAGUUGAAUGGAGAAUGAGAGAGAUUUGAUAUCAAGUUGAAUAGAGUUUUUCUCUCCCGUAAGAGGGCAAGUGUUUUUAUGGUGUUUUUAGCAUAUUCAAGAGUGAAGCUUAUAUAGGGGAUUUGCAUCUUGAAUUUCUCUAUUUUUUCUUGGAGAAAAUGAGGUAGUGGCCGAUGGAGGUGGUGGUGUUUCGGUGGAAAUGGAGAAGAGAGGACAAAUGGGUAUGGAGGUGUAAAAUGAUGAAGAUGGAACAGUGUUAUUUGGGAUACUUAGCAUGCUUGAGUAUAGAAUUAGUGUAAAUCCUCACUCUUUGCCAAGUGUACAAGCAUGCACAUUUUCUUAAUUUAUUUUCUAAUUAAUAAAAACAGUAAUUCUUCCUCUCUCACACACACAAAACCCAACACACACACAUAUAUAUAUAUAUAUAUAUAUAUAUAUAUAUAUAUAUAUAUAUAUAUAUAUAUAUAUAUAUAUAUAUAUAUAUAUAUAUAUAUAUGUGUGUGUGUGUUAUGCAUGUAUUUAUGUAUUAUUAUAUGCAUAUAUUAGUAUUAUAUAUAUACUAAUCAUAAAAGCACUUACUAAAAUUUCACACAUAAUUAAUAAAUUACUUUAAUAAUUUAGUGGUGUAGUUAAAAUUCCUAACAAUUCUUACGUAAUUAAUAAAUUACUUAAAUAAUUUAGUGAUGUAGUUAAAAUUCCUAACAGUUCUACAUUAAUAAUUAAUCCUAGCAAAUAGAGCACAUCAAGCAAUUAAUUUAGUGAUGUAGUUAAAAUUCCUAACAAUUCUUACGUAAGGAUUUUUGGUUUGCGGAGAUUUCAUUUGGGAUUAUGGUUUCGAGAAUGUGGGGUAUCACAAAGAUACUAUAUUAUAAAACUUCUUUUCUCUCUAAUUCUUGAAUAUUAAUGGAGGUUGAUUACUAAAAGCAGUGCUCCCUUUCCCGAUAGUAGAUCUAUUAAAACGCUCUCUUCUCUCUACUACUUUGAAAACCCUAAUCAUCAGCCACCUUCUUCUUCGUCGGCAUGCAACCAACGGAUGUCCUCCAUGUUAAGCAUAGUAAUAGUCCUUUCGCUAUCGAUGGCCAAACAAAACCCUCCUUCUCUUCCAUGGUCGCAUCGAAACGGUCGUCCCUCAGACCUCGCUUGGCCCCUGUCCCGAUGGUUCGUAGACCUCAUUUGGUUAUUAAAAACGCUCCUGAUAUUUUGUUACCUCUGUGGAGAUUGAUCAACUCAAUAAACCAUGUGAGAAUACUGUUAAGUAUAUAUUUUUAUACUUUAUCGUACCUUUUUAUUUGAGUUUUUUGUGUGAUUUAACGAUAAUUGGUGCUUAAAAAGUUGAUUUAUUGUAUUUUAGGUAUAAAUUGAAGAAUUGGAAAAGUUUGGGGUCAAAACUGCAAUUUUGAAGAAAAUAUGGGCCAAAAGUGAAUUAAUCAAAAAUCUGAAGAAAUUGGCACGGGACGGCCGUCCCAAAUUUACACCUAAAAAUGGGACGGCCGUGCCAAAUGCAGAAAUUGGGCAGAAGGUUUCGGCGAUUCUCGCGCGGCCGUGCGAGAAUUGCACUAAUUUUCGCGCGGCCGUGCCAAAUCACGCUGGAGACAAUUUUGGACUUUUAAGCACACAAGAAAACCUAGAAUCAUCUACCAAGUUGGAACAUCUAUUUAAGCCCAAACCAAGCGCGAAUCAAAAAACUUUGGACACAACCUUGGAGCGAGAGGAGCGAGAGAACGAAGAAUCGAAGACGGAGAAUUGACAAAUCUUCAUCACAAUUCUUCUUUCACCUAUCUUUUCUUAAUCUAUUUCGUUUUAUAUUUUUAUUAUGGUUUCCGUAGAGAACAUCCGUAGCUAAGUUUUUAAUCUAGGAUUUUGUUGGAACCCUAUGUGGGGAUGGUGAACCCGUUUUCUUGAGAUUAUGCAAUUAUGAUUUUAUGAUUAUUUCUUCUACUUGAUAUGAUUGUUAGUGCAUGAACUUGAUCAAUUUAUGUGCUUUAUCUGUGAUUAUUGGGAUUGACUCGACAAAGCUAUUUCGAUAAUUAGACGGUAAGUAGAAGAACCUUCGAGUAGUUUUCACCGAAUGAGUGUGUCAAUUGCAUGUGGUGUCGUAGACAUACAGAUAUCACCUUAGGUAGCCAUUUACGAGACUUGUUUGUUAAUGCUUUAUUCAUAAUUUGUUUGCAUAGACAUAUAGUGAACCGUUUAUGAAUAAUAGACUCAUAAUACACGCGACAGCGGGUUAUGAGUAAAUUAGUGUCUCGGGUUAAUAAUCAUGAAUCAUGUAUUUCAUAAUUGAGGGGUUUUGGGUGAGCAAUUCUUGCAUAGGGGGAAGAUAAAAUUCUAGGUCCGUUUUUAUUGAUAUUUUCUCGUGUUUAAUUGCUUUCAUAAUUAGUUUAAUUGUUUAAUUGAUUUUAUUUGACAACUUUGCGUAGGCUGGAUAAAAAUCAUAAUUGUUAGAAUUUGGUACUUAGGAUUAGAUAAUUUGAGUAUUCACUGUGGGAUCGACAUCCAACUCUCACGAGUCCACUUUUACUACUUGUUUGCUUGCGAUACGUGCACUUGCGUGUUAGGUAUUUAGCCCCCAACAAAUACUUUUUAUGAAGUUCUCGUCUGGGCAUCCUAGUCACCAAGAGAUCCGUAAUUAUAUUGAGGUUGAAUGGAGACUAGAUUCGGCUCAAGUUGUGGGUUUGCUGGAUCCAAGGCACGUCACCAUUUAUAUGGGACGUGUGAAGAUACGAAGAAGGCCUUAUCGUACAACUCUCACUCUAUAAAUAAAAUCCUAUACCGCCUCUUCAUAUGGCAUCUUGAUUUUGAAAUUGGAAAAGAUACCGCCUCUUCCUUAUUUUAAUUCGUCUCGCCUACAAAGAAUUGGAUCGUCGACGGGUACUGUGCUCCGAAUUGAUGAUCAAACAUUGGUACCCACAAAUCCUAUGUUCGCAAGAAUGUACAUUGAAAUUGAUGUAUCAAAACCCUUACCAUCACGGACAUGGGUAGGAACCACGAAAGAAAAUGGCUGGUGGUAGAAGAUUGAAUUAGAAGGGAACUAUGCAUAUGAUUGGGUUAUGUAGAAAACUAAGAAAUCCAAAUUUGGAUAAUACCAAUUCACCGAACUGUUGGAUUACACAAUAGCUUCAAGGAGCAAAAUGUUCAAAAAAUUAUCUUAAACAGACCUACUGUUGUUACCCCUGUAGUCAAUAGUCAAUAUGGCGGAAAACCAAGUGGACGAUUUGUGAGUGUAAUACCCAAAGAUGCUUCAAUGCAGCACAUCAAAGUAACAUCGAAGAAAACAAAAUUGACUCACAACAAUGAGGCACCUAUAGGGUCACAAUCCCAUACUCAGCCGAUUUCUCCAAAAGCAUCUAAGGAAAUAGGUGUUUUGUAUAGUUAUAACCCAAUAAAUGUUGGAGUUAGGGGAACACAUAUCGGAGAACACGAAUGCCUUGGGGAACUAAAUGAAGGUUAAGCGGUUUCCAAUUGAUUUCAUGUUUUGUAAGUCGAUGACGCAGCACAGUGUAAGGAAGUCGAUGACGCAGCACAGUUUACUAAUUUUUAGUUUUACGAAUACAAUAGUAGGACUUAAUCAAAAUACAAAGACUCCCUCUUUGUUGAGGCCGUUCUUGUAUACUACGCUGAAUUAUAAAUCUUCAAUUUGCAGCACGUCCUUUACUCCGCUCGGUUGAACUCCCUUCAACGCUAAAUCCCUCAGUCGGCGGAUGGAUCUCCUCCCGAUAUCUGUUUAGGCCCCUCUCCUGAAGAACCGAUAUUCUUUUUGUAUAGAAGAAGCAAACUUGUGAUAAUCCUUGAAUCUUGGUGUCUUCACCACAAAGUCUUGAAGCUGAUAUAUUUUCUAUGAAAAUCACGUAUCACGAUGGAGUAAUAAAAACGAGAGAAAAAAUAUUUUCUCUCGAACUUCUCUCGAUGGAAAAGUUGUAGGAGCAACAAAGAAAGGAAAAAAAAUUUUAUCUAAAAAAAGCACGCAACGGCAACAAGAAGAAGAGAAAAUUUUUUCUCUCCAAAAAGACGCCAAUAAAAACGAGCGUAAAGAAAAUAUCCUGUGUAAAUUUUUCUCUCCAAGAAGACGUGAAGCCUUAUGCUGAGAUUGCUCUCCUUUUAUAUUCUACGCCAUAAGAUCCCUAUACAAGGAAAAGUUAGAGACCAAAAUGUUACAAAUACUCAAAUCACGUAGGAAACUAAAUCUUAGAGAUAUAGGAGAUUUCUUUGCCAAUAAAUAAUUCCCAUAUUUAUUAAAACUCUAGCAAUAUAUGACAAUAAAAUAUAAAAAAGAUAGUUAUGCUUGUAUAAAGAUAAUUUCCACUAUUAAUCAAUUAAUGAUAAAAUAAAGAAUUAAAACACAAGGAAACUCCCCUUCUUAUAUUACGACAUAUCUAGACUUGUGGUACAAGUCUUUACACAUUUCCUUGCAAAGUCAGAAUCCAAAGGAUUCUAACAAUCACGAUCAUGUGCUGCUCUCGUAUAUAUGCUCUCCUAAGUUUUUUGAUUCACUGUAUAACAAGGAAAACCAGAGUCCAUUAGGGUUAGGAAACUUUUAAGAAGAAUAAUUUCUAUUAUAAAUCAAUUAAUGACAAAUUAAAAGAAUUAAAAGCUACAGGGAGGACUCGAUCUUCCCUUCUUUAGCUCACGGUAUAUGCAAACUUGUGGCACAAGUUUUAUUAAAUUCUCGUAUAAUUAGAAUCAAGGGGAUUCUAACACACUUCACUGUUAAUGAGAGUACCCCUAAUUUUUUUAUUUUUUUUUUGUACUCCAAAAAAGGAAGAAAAACUCACAUACCUCGCACGUUCAAGUGAUUCCGGCAAGAAUUGAAAGGAAAUGAUAACUUUAAGGCAGCGUUCGACAAGUUCAGGUAAAAACAUAUAAAAAACAUUAGUAUAAGGGGUAACGUGCAAAAAUACACGAUUGUUUGGGGGCAAAAUGCCAUUGGCCCUAUCAAUGAUUGUUGGAUGUGUUUAACAAUUUGUUAUCUAUCUAUCUAUCUAUUCUAUCUAUACUAUCUAUAAAAGCAUGAACGGGGUGGUGGUUUCUUCCCUUUUAUAUAGUGCCUAUUAUACCCCUAUGUUACUCAAUUAUAACAUUAAGUGACCUUAGUCAAUUAAGUAAUUAAAAAAUUAAAUAAUAAAUAAAUCAAAUUACAAUUAUCAUUCUCUAUAAAGAAAACAUUAAAGAAGUUCAUUUAAUUUAGUUUUUUAAUUAAUACGAAAAGUUUAUUUACUAAAAAUUAAUCAUCAUAAUUAUAAAUUAUGUAGAACUUAAUAUUACGUAUGGAUUUCAUGAUUAAACUUGAAGCUUAACUAAAUACAAUUGUUAUUUUGCACUUUUGAGUCAAAUAAAAAAUAAACCAAAUAAAAUCAAGAUUAAUUAGAAAUUAUAAUCAAGAUUCGGAGCUAUUUCAUUUUUGACUUUCUAGACAAAUAAAAAAUAAAAAUAUUUUAAUACAAAAUAGAAUGUAAUUUCAUUUUUCAUUCUUUUUAAUAUUCUUUUUAAUAAAAGUAAUUCAUUACAAGAUUGAAUGUAGUUCCAUUUUCUUUUGUUUGAAUAUAUUAAUUCAAAACAUAAUCAAGAUUCAAUGUUAGUUAUAUUUUUGUUUAUUUCUCAUAUUUUGCGCUUGAAUAAUUAAAAUUAUUAUUUAUAACAAUAAUGUUAUAUGUUAGUAUUUUUAUCGCUCGGGUAAAACUAAUUUACUCUAUCGACAAUUGUUAUAUAUGUAUGGUAACUUAAGAGAAUACAGAAACAGAAAACAUAUGAAAAUCAUAAAAUAUUCGUAAUUUAUUAUUCAAUUUAUUUUUAUUUAUGAUAUGGUACAAAUUUAUAACUUUAAUAAUACUUAAUAAUAUUUAAUUAAUAAAUUUAAAUAGAUAUAUUCGAGUGACAUUUUCAUAUGAAAUUUUGCUCCAAAAGAUUAAAUUACAGUGAGCUCGUAGGAAAUUCACAUGUCAUAGCCCAUAAAUAAACGUAUUUCAUACGCUACAAGUGAAAAAAAAGGAGAUCAAAUAGUAAUGCUGAAAGAUUCUUUUAGAACUCUACGUGCGGAUUUAAAAUCUUUUAAAUUAGAAUUGAUAUUUAGGUCAUUUUUCACAUCUUCAAAAUAAUUUUGAUUAAAGUCUUAUUAUGUUUUAAUCAAUUUAAUUUUCAUCACCUAUGCCUUUUUUUUUCCCCAACAUAACAAUGUUCCACAUGUUUUUGAUAUUUUGUAAUAUAUUAUGUAAUUUUAUGGAAAAUUAGGAUUUAUUUAAAUUAUUUUGUACAUUACAACUCAAUCUAAAUAAGAAGUUUUUGAAAUUAUAUAUUUUUUACUGCACUAUGAAAAACAUAAAUUAAAUUAUGCUUUUAAAUUCUUAAUAAAAAUAAAAUAAAUAAAAAAUAUGAAGUAAGAAAUAUAAAAUAUAAACAAGAAUGAUAUUUGUUUUUCAAAGUUAAAAUAUCGUGUUGUAUUCAUUUUUUGGUUAAAGUAUCGCAAGAAUUUAUGUGGAGUGCAUGUUUCUAUGAGAUAUAUAAUUUAUAGUGAAUUUUGCCAAUUUUAAAAUAUUCGAGUUCGAAAUGUCAAUUAGUGUCAAUUUUGAGAUGCAAAACGCAAUUCACUCGGCUAUAAGGAAGAAAUUGAUGAAUGAUAGUGAGUUCCAAUAAAACAAAUGCAAAAAGAAAUUAACUAAGAAGCAAGUAAAUAUCAUUCAAAAUUUUGAUAGCAAAGAUGAUGAGCAGAAAUUGUAAUAAUUGAAACGAAAUGAUAAAAAAUAACAGUUUCAUGAAUAUACAUAAUGAAUAUACAUAGGUAAAACCGUAUGAAUAUUUUUAUAUCUAUUUUACUAUUAAUUAAUAAAUAAUUUAAAUAAUAUUAUAUACCAAAUAAUUAUCAAUGUCACCAAAUAUUUUUCUAAUAACAAUUUAACUAUCAAAUUAGAUUAAAAUAGAAAGAAAAAUUAAUAUAUCGCGUGCAACGCACGCACACCUUUCUAAAGUGCAAAAAAAAUUUGUGAAAAAAAUUAAUGGCUAGAACCCGUCUUAGUCAAAGUCAUACACUCCCUCCCUCUCGUUCGUGUCAUUCACGUGCUAUCUAUGCGACUGCGUGUGCGAUAUGUUAUGUGAAAAGACAUAAAUGCCCCUUAGAAUCUCUCGGCUUUUCUGGUUCCAUUUUAAACAAACAAAAUAAAAGAAAUAAAUACUGAAUAUAAAUAAAUUAAUUAAAAAAGAACAAAACAAAACAAAAAAAAAAACGCCGCCGGCAAUUAGUUUAGAUCUUCUCCAAUGUCGUCGCCAAUUCGAGCUCCGGCCAUCUCCGCUUGCCGAAGUCUCCAACCAAUUGCAAAACCCACCGCAAACUCUUCUCCUGCACAUGGCCUUUCCGCAUUUUGCGGGGCGGGGGUGUUUUGCAUUUAACUCAUUUGAUAUAAUAUAGGCUACUAGAUAGUAAUUUAACUAUUCUUUGACCGUGGUUUAAUGUUUUAACAAUUAAUAAAUACAACACAACCCCCUGCAUUUUAGUACCACUUGUUUGUUAUACUAAAAUAUUCCCAUACUCAUUCUAAAAGAAAAUUUAAAAGAAAAAAAAAAAAAGAAUAUUUCCAUGAUCUAGUAGUAAAAGGAAUUGCAAAUGGAAGCUUAGCAUCAUUGACAUUGACAUUGACAAAGCUCAAAGCUGUCAUUCUAAAUGUAUCAGAUACAUUCUCACAACCUCUUUCACACAAUUCAUUGAGAAAAUAUGCGAUGAAGUCUCCAUCUCUGUAUAUCAUCUUCGCCGUAGCUUUCUUCGUCUUCUUCAUCGAUCUUACCUGCGUCGAAUCCCAGUCGUUGGAUUAUCCAACGGCAAACCUCUCCACUACUUGGAUCAACAGUGUCUCCGCAAGUCACUCGGUCAGCUUCUCAGACAACUCAACCAUCAGAGCAAUCCUUCUCCGAGGAACUUUCGGCCCCAGAUACGCCUGCGGAUUCUUCUGCAACGGCACGUGCGACACUUACCUCUUCGCCGUAUUCAUCGUCCAAACCAACAGCGGCGGUGGCAUCACUAUGCCGUCGAUAGGGUUCCCGCAGGUCGUCUGGUCGGCCAACCGGAACAAUCCGGUCAAAAUCAAUGCAACCCUGGAGCUCACGGCCGACGGCAACUUGGUCCUGAGAGAUGCAGAUGGCACAUUGGCGUGGUCGACCAACACCGGUAAAAUGUCCGUGCGCGGCUUAAACAUGACGGAAUCCGGAAACCUAGUUCUCUUCGAUUCGAAAAACUCCGUUGUCUGGCAAUCAUUUGAUCACCCAACCGAUGUACUUGUCCCAGGUCAGAUCUUAGUAUCCGGUAAGAAUCUGACCGCGAGUUCUUCGCCUACGAAUUGGACAGACGCCGGCCUUUUUUCGCUGUCAAUGACUACCACAGGCUUAGUUGCUUCUAUCCAAUCAAACCCUCCGCAGGUAUACUACGAAAAUUCGUUAAGUGGCACCAAACAGAAUACAGAAUUAAGUUAUGCUAAGUUUCGAAAUGGGAGUUUAGAUUUAUAUUUAAAUUCUGUCGAACCAACCGAUCCCGAUUUAUCGAUACCGAUUCCCGAUGCUAAGUCGGCUCAAUUUAUUAAAUUCGGGUCCGACGGGCAUCUGAGGGUGGUUGAGUGGGGACAACCAUGGAAGGAAGUAGCUGAUCUUCUUACAGGCUUUCUCGGUGUGUGUAACUAUCCUAUGGUUUGCGGUACGUACGGAGUUUGCUCGAACGGGCAAUGUAGCUGCCCGAGAUCGGGUACUAACGAAGUCUACUUUUCGCCGAGAAACAGUAGGCGCCCUGAUCUCGGUUGUCUCGAAGUGAAACCACUCGGUACUAGUUGUAAUAAUGUUUCGGAAAAUCACGGGUUUGUGGAUUUGGAAGAUGUGAACUACUUUGAGUUUGUGACGGAUAUUAGUAACACUAAUAUGGAUACAUGUAAAGAGGCUUGCUUGAAGAAUUGUUCUUGCAGAGCUGCUAUCUUUCGAUAUGGUUCUAAUCCUUCUGGCGGGGACUGCUAUUUGCCGUCACGCGUCUUUUCCUUGAUGAAUAACAAUCGAGCGCUAACAAAUUUAAAUUCUUCGGUUUCUUUGAAAGUGCAGAUUAAUGCUCCUCCUGCUGUGAGUGCUCCCCCUACUGUGAGUACUCCCCCUGCAGUAGGUACAGUACCCCCUACUACAGAUUCCAAGGGAAAUAAAAAAAGCUCUGUUGGAGCUAUACUUGGAUCAAUUGUUGGAGUUCUUUUUAUAUCGGUUGUUAUCGGAAGUGCUUUUUUCGUUUACCGAAAAAGGAGAAAACCCGAUGAAGUUGAGGAGGAUUAUUUAGAUCAUGUACCCGGGAUGCCGACGAGAUUUUCUUACGAACAGUUGGAAGCUGCAACGGAGAACUUCAACAAGAAACUCGGUGAGGGAGGAUUCGGUUCGGUUUUCCAAGGGUUGUUGAAAGACGGUACGAAAAUCGCGGUGAAAACGCUCGACGGAGUUGGACACAUCAAGAAGUCGUUUCUAGCAGAGGUCGAGAGUAUAGGGAGCAUUCACCACGUCAACUUGGUGAGACUCAUCGGAUUUUGUGCCGAUAAAUCUCACAGGCUUCUCGUUUACGAGUACGUGGUUAACGGGUCAUUGGAAAAAUGGAUAUAUACAGGAAGACAAGAGAAGUGCCUCGACUGGAAAACGAGGAGAAAAAUCGUUCUUGAUAUAGCCAAGGGAUUAGCCUAUUUACACGAAGAUUGCAGGCAAAAGAUCAUCCACUUAGACAUAAAGCCUCAAAAUAUACUUUUAGACGAAAAUUUCAAUGCCAAGCUGGCAGAUUUCGGGCUUUCGAAGCUAAUCGAUAGGGACCAAAGUCAAGUUAUGACAACCAUGAGAGGCACUCCGGGCUAUCUUGCACCGGAGUGGCUGAGCGCGGUUAUUACAGAGAAAGUGGAUGUUUACAGCUUCGGGGUUGUGGUUUUGGAGAUUGCGUGUGGUAGGAAAAUAUUCGAGCAAUCUAAGCCCGAGGAAGAAAGGCAUUUAUUGAGUGCUUUCAAGAAAAAAGCAGAGGAAGGGCAGUGGCUUGAUCUUGUGGAGAAUUUCCAUUGUGAGGAUGUGCAGUCGAACGUGGAAGAAUUGGUUGAGAUGAUGAAAAUCGGGGCUUGGUGUGUACAAAACGAUUACACGAAAAGGCCAGCUAUGUCGAUGGUGAUGAAGGUUCUGGAAGGUGGUAAAGAUGUUGAUAAAGAUAUUGACUAUAGUAACUUCUUAACUCCACCGCGGUAUGUAAUGAACGAUAUAUCGGGAAUCGACUCUGAAGAUGCAACUCGUUUGCUUCCUUCGGUUCUAUCGGGGCCAAGAUGAAGUUUGGUGUUUUCGGGGAGUAUGUUAUUCUUUGAUUUCGUGUUUGAUAAUGUGAGACUUGUUUUUUCUCAUUUGAUUCGUUUGUUUGAGUGUGAGGAGUUCAAUGAUUUCGGGCCAUUUGACUUUCCCUUUUUUACGUGUGGUGUGAAGUACAACAAAAUUUGAUCCGAUAUUGUUUGGAUUUCUUGUGGAUGUUGGAUGACAUAAAUCCUCAACAUUUUGUAAUUAUUUGAUUUUAUUUUACAUCUUUCCACAGUAUGAACAAAUUUGUUGGUGUCGGUAAUUGGGAUAAAAAUAGAAUUUAUUCUAAGUAAUUUAUUUUGGCUUUGCUUUAUUUAAAUUUAAAAAAACAAAAAGCCACAAUCUAUCUAUAUCUAUAUAUAUUGUCCUAUAUUUUAGAUUAUAUUAUAUUAAAUUAUAUUAUAUUAUUAUACUACACUACUUAUAAAAGUACUAAUGUGAUUUGUGAAUUUUUCUUCUUUUUUACUGUACAAUAAUAUCCAUUUCAAAGAUAAUAUGAUUCAUUCUAACAAAUUAAUCCGCUCAAUUUUGUUGUUAUUUGGAAGUUUGUAGAAUAUGAUUCUUUAAUUUAUAAAUUAAUCUGUACGAUUAAUGUGAAAGAUGAAUGUUUAGUGACAAUUAGUUAACAUCAAUUUCAUUGAUAAGAUAUUUGUAUGGGUUAGUCAUUAAUAUGUACGUUGGUAAUAUCCCAAACAAUUGCAAUAUAACUCAUAAAAAAAAUGGGGAAAUUUGCUAGAUACCCCUUAUUUUGGACUUAUGUAGGUGGAGAUUCAAGCUAUGUUGCACGGACACCUCUGGAUGGUGAAGAAUCCCUGUAUCCGAUACACGGACACUCGAAAACUUCCGGACACGGCUCGGACACUCGUGUCGAGCCGUGUCGUAAUUAAGCUAAAAGUAGGACACCCAUUUUCGAACUGUGUCUGCAAUUUUAAAAAGUUUGGACACUUUUAAGUUUUAAAAGCCAUCCCUAAUAAAAAUAACGUGAAUCGCAAUAUGUUUUCUUCUCAUAAAGCACGUCCCUCUCUUCUGUGAAAGUUCACCAAAAUUCAAAAACCCUAGCUUUAAUUUUAUUGUUACUUAAUUAAAUAUUGUUAUAAUUUAUAUUGAAAUGUGCAAAGAAAAAUAACAAUUUGUAACAAAAAAAAAAGAAUAUAUAUAUAUAUAUAUAUAUAUAUAUAUAUAUAUAUAUAUAUAUAUAUAUAUAUAUAUAUAUACUAGCAAACAACACGUGCGUUGCACGUGGAAAUGUAUGAUUUGACUUAUUAUAUAAAUGUAUAAUUAAAAAUAUUAAAGUUAGAUGUAAUAUUUAAAAGUAAAUUAAAAUUAAAUAAAAUCAAGUAAGUAUAAAAAUUAAUGUUGUUAUUAUGUAUCUAUGAAUGGUAAAAUAUAAUUAUUUUAAAAAUUAUUUGAAAAGAAUAUAAAAUAUAAAACAAAAUAACUAAAUUUUUUUUCUAUAUAUUAGUUCAUACAUGCUCACAUUAUGUUUUCCCUGAUUUUAUUGUGAUUGUUGAAACAAUUUUCAUUUUAAUGAGUUUUUCUAUAUCAGUAUUUUUUAAAACUAUUAAGUUUUUAUUUUCGUGUUACUUAAGUUAUGGUCUCCCUGAUCAAAAUGUCGACACUUGAAAUUUGAAUAUUAAUGCCUUCAAAAAAUUUGAAUAUUAAUUUAAUUAUAGCUAUUAUCGUUUUUAUUCAUCUUUUUUUUUUUCAAUUUUCUUCAAGGAUACAUCUUGUAUUUGUCACAGCCUCACAGGUGUCAGAAUAAUAUACUUUUAUAUUUAAAAAAAAAAGAAUGAUAUAUCUUUAUAUUUACAAAAAUAAUUUUCUUAAAGAAAUUUACUUUAGAAAUAUUAAAAUAUUUGAGAUUCUAAUGUAGCAAGGUUUAUUGAUGAAAAAUAUUAGGGUAAAUUACAAACACCCCCCUGAGGUAUGGUCAAAUUACAAAAACCCCCCUCUUGUUUGAAUAAUUACAUCUACCCCCUCAACUAUGAUUUUUUCUUAGACCUCCACCUUUAUGGUGCCAAAUUCAACAUAGUCAUCUAGAUUCCGUGAAAUCNNNNNNNNNNNNNNNNNNNNNNNNNNNNNNNNNNNNNNNNNNNNNNNNNNNNNNNNNNNNNNNNNNNNNNNNNNNNNNNNNNNNNNNNNNNNNNNNNNNNUUAUCCAAACAAGAGGGGUGUUUUUGUAAUUUGACCAUACCUCAGGGGGGUGUUUGUAAUUUACCCAAAAUAUUAUAUUAUCCAAUAGCAUGUGAAUUAAGUAUUUUCGACUUUCAAGAUCGAAAUCAAUAUCGCUAAAUGAAGAUAUGAAUUAUAAAAUAGUAAUAAUUAAAAAACAGGGAGGUAGAGACAACUAAAUACAAUUGGACAUGCAUAUUUAUUCAAGUAUCUUGAGUUAGCCAAUUCAUAUAAGACAUGUUAAUCACGUAUAAUAAUAUUCAAUUUACUACUUAUGGGUAAUAUAAUCAGUGCAUAAUUCAUAAUUUUAUUGUUACCUUGGUGUUAUAAUAUCAUCAUCAUAUUAUUUUUUGUUAUUGUUGAAACUUUAAGUGAGAUAUGUUUUGUUACUGGAGUCAUAAUAGUUAUCGAUCUUCAGUUUCACCAAUAAUUUUCUUACAAAGAAAAGAUAAUUCAGUAAUUAUAGUGACCAUUGAUGUUUUUUAAACUAUAUGUUUACCCUUGACCAUAUAUUGAAUAAUUAUAGUGAUCUCUCCUGAGAUCAAAUCUAAUUACAUACAUAUACACCGUAAAUCUCAUAUUUAAAAAUAAAUAAAUAUUAUAUUAAAGAUGCUCCUCUUAAGUAUACUUUUAAUUAUUUAAUUACUAAUAACAAAAUAAAUAUUUUUAUAAGAUAUUUUUUAUAGAGAAAUUAUAUUAGAAAAUUAAUACUAUUUAAAAAUAUAUAACAUAAAUUAAAUUAAAUAUUUUGCUUGUUUCUAUUUUGUACCCUCGGAAUGUAUCAUUUAUGCACUUGGCUCCCCCAAAAAAAAUCUCGAAAGGAAUUAAAUCAUUCGCAUUGCAUCCUAUUUAAAUUUUAAGGUUAAUGAGGAUAAUUUCAUCUUUUAGUGGCAUUUUGAAAUGAUAAUUUUCUUUGGAGUGAUCAAAUGUAAUUUAAAUAAAAUAAUUUUCAUAAUUAAAGUGUGAAAUUAUUGAAUAGGUAUAUCUUUAAUUUUCUUGGAAUUGGUAAAAAUAUAUUGUUCUUUUGUUCUUUUUUUUUUGUAUGAUUUUUUUUUUAUGUAAUUUUGUGACAAAGUAGUUGAAGGGUGGAAAAAUUAUAAUUCUAAAACUCAGUACAAAGAUGACAAAUACUUUUGUAUCGGUGUAAUUAUUGAGGAUAUUUUUAUCUAUGCAGUAGUACUUAUUUUAUGUAAUUGUUUAUUUCAUUCACUAUUAAAUUAUUUUCUUGCUAAAAUUACUUGAAAAUUAAAUUUUGUUAUCUAAAAUAAAAUUUAAAAUAUUUUUAAUUUUAAUAAAAUAUCAAUUGGGGGUUGCUGUGUGAAUCAUUUAAUCUUUUAAGGGUGCAAUGUGUUAUUAAUUUUUUUGGGUGUGCAAAGUUCCAAAGUGUAUAUUUCGAGUCUGCAAAGUGUUUUUGUUUAAUUAAUCCUUACCUUUAAAUUUAUGAUUGACAUAUGCUUGUUUAAAUUUCAUGUAUUUUUUAACAAUAGUAGUCAUGUUUCAAUACCAUUUUAUUUUACAUAAAAUAUUAUAUUCGAAAAUGUAAGAUACAUAAAACAAUAUCAUAUUAUCAUAUUUGUGGAAUAUACGUAAUAAAUAUAAUCUAAUAAUUAAUUUAAAAUUCGAAACUACUUUAUGUGUAAAACGAAAAACAAAUUUCUACAUAUAUGCUUAUAGUAUGUGAUUGUAAAACUCUUCGAAUCUAGUUUAAGACGAAGUUAUUUUAUCUAAAAAAUAUUAUGUAGAAAAAAUUACAAAAAUAAGAAAAUCAACGAACUUGUGUAAAUAUUUGAGCAUAUGAAAAGACAUUAGAUAUUUAAACAAUAUUAUUUUACUAUUAAUUUGUUAUUUCAUUAUGCUUAUUACACAAUUAACCAUAACUAAUUAAUGGUGUAAGUUAGUUUACAAAGGGCAUAAUAGGAAGCACAUAAAUGUUAAGAAAAAAAAACAUUCAUACUUUUAUAGUUGGUAGGGAUAUAUAUAUAUAUAUAUAUAAUAUAUAUACGUACUGUGCCACGAGCCCGAUUUAGAAAAAUACUGUUACGAGAGCUCAAUCACCUUCAAAUUAGAUUUGAGCCCAAAAAAUUAAUCGCAGCCCAAUGGACAAGGUAUAAAUAACGAUAUAAUUCAUUUAUUAAAGGUGCUCCGUAUUAUCUCAACAAGACUACAAGUCAUAUACUCUCAAGUAUUUCCUAUAAUUCGUACAUCUGACUUGAGCGUCGGAGGGGUUUCCGCCGGCCUCUGGCUCGUUCAACCCCCGGCCCGGUUCACGUAUGUUUUCUAUUCGCAGCUAUCUCAGGGUCAUCUAGCACGUGAGCGGUGAUCCACUUUGCUCUCCCAGGUCCUUCGGUCUCAACUACUUAAGGUGAUCUAUUACUACCAUCAUUAUAAUGGCGCCGUCUGUGGGAAAGCAUACAAGAUCACGUAGCGCGCAUGGUGUCCUUGAGACAUCUACUUAGAGAGAACAUGCCAAUGCUAACAACCUCCCACCUCGUGGAGGCUCUGGCUUGGCACUUCUUCCGACUAAUCAGGAUCCACCUCAUGAGGUCCAGAUAAAUCACCCGCAUGAUCCACCAUUCCCCGCUCCUUGAACGGUUCAAAUAAUCGAAGAGGCCCUCCAACACAUGAUUGCGGAAGCUUCAGCUCGAGCUGCUAAUGAAGCAGUGGCACAAUACAUCGCCACAACGGGAGUCAACGCUCAUCUCCACCCGUGGCACAACGACCUCCACCACCACCGGAUAACACAUCCACCUCAGACCCUAGGUCUCGGAUGCAACAAUCUACUCAUCGCCAUAAUGCACGAAUUGGGCGACAAGACCCACGUUCACCUUCAAGAGGCAACGUCUUCUGCCAACGAGUACCUCCACACAAUGCUGCAGAUGAUGAAAUUAACAGUGGCUAUCUCGCUCAAAUCACCUUCCCCACAUAGAUAAUCCUAUUGGUGGAAGGGCAAUACCUCCAAUAAGGUGCAAUCCCUUCACUGUCGCAAUAAUCAAUGAGAUACUACCCCAACGGGUAAAGGUCUCGAGUCUACCACAGUUCGAUGGAACUAGUGACCCACAAGACUACCUUGAAAAGUUCUACGCCAUGACACGAUCCGGUACCCUUUUCGACUUGGCUCCCAUAUCGACUCGUGAGUGGGGGCUAAUGAUAUGCCUAAUUGGGCCAGCCCAAUUAGCCUACUAUUUCUCUACGUACUGGGCCACGAGCCCGAUUUAGAAGAAUACUAUUACGAAAGCCCAAUCACCUUUAAAUAUGAUUUGGGCCCAACAAAUUAACCGCAGCACGAUCGACAAGGUAUAAAUAAAGAUAUAAUUCAAUUAUUAAAGGUACGCCCUAUUAUUAGAAUAAGACUACAAGUCAUAUUCUCUCAACUAUUUCCUACAAUCUGCGCGUCUGACUUGAGCGUCGGAGGCGUUUCAGUCGGAUCGACCCCCGGCCUAGUUCACGUGUUCUCUGUUCGCAGGUAUCUUAGGGUCAUCCUACAACGNNNNNNNNNNNNNNNNNNNNNNNNNNNNNNNNNNNNNNNNNNNNNNNNNNNNNNNNNNNNNNNNNNNNNNNNNNNNNNNNNNNNNNNNNNNNNNNNNNNNCCCGAUCGGGAUAUUUAAUCCCGAAUUAGGAAAAAAAAAAACUAAUAUAUAUAUAUAUAUAUAUAUAUAUAUAUAUAUAUAUAUAUAUAUAUAUAUAUAUAUAUAUAUGUAUAUACAUAUAUAUAUAUAUAUAUAUAUAUAUAUGGUCCCGGAUAUGAGAAACACAAUAAAAAAGCGAGUGCGUCCACAUGUAUAUAAAUUUUUAAAAUUGUAUGUGCGCCCAGGUGUGUGGGAAAGAAAAAAAGCGCGAGAACAACUGUGUGUAUAUGAUAUAUAUGGGGGGGCCCAGUCCCAAACCCAAUACCCGAGAAAAACAGGCGCACCCUCUCAUCGUUUAUGCGCAAGAUGGGGGAGCUCCCGCCCCCCCCCCCCACUCCCCAAAUACCCGGAGCCCCCCCCCACACGCCCAAAUUCCCGAGCGCCCCGCCCGAGAGAUCCCCUAUCGCCCCCCCCUCCCCCGACACCGACCCCCAAACGCGCGAACUCCCGCGCCCCCCCCCCGCGCCCCCCCCGUGCGGGCGUCAUAUAUAUAUAUAUAUAUAUAUAUAUAUAUAUAUAUAUAUAUAUAUAUAUAUAUAUAUAUAUAUAUAUAUAUAUAUAUAUAUAUAUAUAUAUAUUGUCAAGGAGAUGAGAAAUACAAUAUAAAAUAUAUUGUUUCAACUUAUUUUUAAAUUUUUAAAAUUUUAUUUGUUCCAAGUUUUGUGGUAAAAAUAAAUAAGGCAAGAACAAUAGUAUGUAUAUAAUAUAUUUAAGUUGGUUUAGUGUAUAAAAUAAUAUUAAUGGAAAAAAGAUGCAAUAUUUCUUAGUUUUUAGGCAAAAUAUGGGAUUUCCCGAUCCCAAUCCCGAUUCCCGAAAUAUUUAGGGAUACCGAUAUAACGGGGAUUUAAUAGUUUGGGACGGGAUUGAGAUUUAAAAUUUCUAUACCAAAUCCCGAAACCGAUCCAAAAAAUCCCGAAUUCCCGAAAUCCCGUCCCGAACUCACCCCUAGUGGCCGUAAUUUAAAUUUUUGAAUAACCCACAAGUGACAAGACUAUCGCCCAUUUCUAAAGACUCCGACAUACUUUCUUCUGAUUCAAAUCGCACCAACGGUUAGUCCUCCAUUUCAAACCCUAAGGAUCUUCUCUUCGAGUAAGUAACCCGAAUUGAAGCCGUCUAGUUCGUGAAAAAGUUCAGUAAGUAUGAAAUUCUUGCUUAUUUCUUACUGCGAUGACGAAAUUUUAACGACCCUUUUGGUUUUCGUCUUUUGCUUUUUUCCCCGUUCGCCUUGUUCAUGUGUGAAUUUUUGAUUGACUUGUUGUAUAGAAUUUUAAACCCAUCAAAUCCAGUUAAAAUUCGUUGUGUACACAGUAAAAUUCUUGUAUUUGCAUUUUUUCUUACAUUGUCUUGGUCUACUGUGUGUUCUGUUGUUCUUACAGGAAGUUCAUGUUCUACUAUCAAGAAUCAGAUUGCAGAUUCUGUUCGGAGAUUUCCAUUAAAUUGUGGUAAUAUGUCUCCAUCUAAUAUGAAAUGCCCAAAAGUUGAUGUUGUUAGCGUUAAACGGGACCCUAAAAAGUCGGUUGUUGGACAAAAAAAUGCCGACAAGGACGAGAAUAAGGUUCGUCUCUUAAAAGAGUCGUGGGAGUGUGAAUCGGAGAAACUGGCAGCAGUUAUUGCCGAGGCUAAACGGUACAUUAACGAGUUUGAUGCUAAGCAUAACUAUACGGAAUCGAAGAACUCGGAAAAGAGAACGAGAGAAAAUCACUGUCCUGAAUUUCAGGAUUUCGAUGAGAAAAAGAUGAAGGUUGAGGAAGACGACAGUGAAGAGGAAGAAGUUUGCGUUGUAUCGCCCGCAGAGUGGACAGGUUCGAAAUCUGGUUUCAAGAACGGUGUCGACUCGUCAAAGGGUAAAAUAGGAACAAACCCACGAGGUGUUUCUGAUUGUCAGGUGGCUGCAACUAAACGUGGAGAAAAAAACAUUGAAAAAUCAAGAAAAUCGAAAACUCUUACGGAGGUUUGUGUGUUGGAUGACGUGUCGGGUGGAAGAGAGAAGUUGCCGAUUCGUGCGUUGAACGGAGUGGACGAAGAGCGGCCCCCGACUUUCACUUACGACACCAUCAUGGAAUAUCCGUAUUGGUAUCGGCUAAUUAACCCCGUCGGUUGCGAUUGCGUGGACGGUUGCUCGGAUUCCGAACCGUGCGCUUGUGUGUUGAAGAACGGGGGCGAGAUCCCGUUUAAUGAAAAUGGAAAAAUAAUAAGGGCGAAGCCUAUAGUUCACGAGUGUGGCCCUUUAUGCAAAUGCCCCCCUUCUUGUAUGAAUAGAGUAAGCCAAAACGGGCCCCGCUAUAAAUUGGAGAUUUUCAAGACUGAGUCGAGGGGUUGGGGUGUGAGAUCUCCGAGUUACAUUUCUUCCGGAAGCUUCAUAUGCGAGUACAUUGGGAAGCUAUUGAGGGAUAAAGAAGCGGAAAAGAGAGUUGGCAAAGAUGAAUAUUUGUUUGAUAUAUGCGAUGAUUCUCACGAAGAAGAAGGUCAAGGGAAAGUUUGUUCGAAUGAAAAAUCGAGUGUUGAUGGAUUUGCUAUCGAUGCUGCAUUGUACGGGAAUGUCGGGAGAUUUAUCAACCAUAGCUGCUCACCUAACCUUUAUGCACAAGAGGUUCUUUACGACCAUGACGACAGGAGAAUGCCACACGUUAUGUUCUUUGCCUCAAAGAAUAUACGUCCUAUGAAAGAGCUGUUUUAUGAUUAUAAUUAUAAGAUGGAUCGAAUUUGUGACGUCAAUGGGAAUAUUAAGACCAAGGAUUGUCAUUGCGGCUCACGAAAAUGCACGGGGAGGAUGUACUAGCUAUCGACACGGCAGAUCCUUCGUUUUCUUUGGUUCAACUUCUAUGUAUGGUUAGGGUUAGUAUUGGUAUUUUUCUUUUCUUUUUUUCUUUUUUUUUUUGUUGGGAUAUGUUAGGAGUAUUGUUAAGUGAUGUAUUGAAAAGUGGAGUUGAAUGAGUUACCUUUUUACCCUUAUUUUCAUUUUCACAUGGUUUUUUAUAUAAUAUUUUCAUUUAAAUUGACAUCGGUAAGGAUACCGAAGUGUUUGAUCAUUAUUGUGUACGAAUCAUUACAGUACCAAAAAAUGUGGUAUACCGAUGUACAGUAAAACGUUACUUACGGUGGUACACGGUACGGUACACUACCAUUAUCUUAUACUCCUUCGAUCUCUUAUUAUUGGUCGUGUUGUUAAAUCCGAAAGUCUCAAAUUAACUUGCAAUCUUCUCUUUUCAACAGUGGUGUCUGUAUUUUAAUUCAAAACAUAUACACCAAGAAAUAAAAAAGGGACUAUUAGUGAGAACCCCCUCCACCUUUAUUUUAAUGGGGCUAUAUGCCAAACACCCUUCAUUGCAAUUUUAAUUCUUGAUAAAUCCUUUAUUUAUUAAUGAUAUUUGAGAUAAAUCCAAUGGACCUGAAAAACCAUAUAUGCCCCCAUUAAUUAAUCAUUAGUAUAAUUAUUUAAUUACAAACAAAUUAUACCCAUAAUCUACACCCAAAUCUGCUCCAAAAAUUAUUUCUCUCAUCACGCCAAUUCAGUUUUUUUCUCCUUUUCUUUUUUAUUUUGUUUAAUAGUUUUCUUUAUUUCAAUUUAAAUAAAAUUUUGUAGUUAUUUUUAUUUUUAUUUUUAUUUUAAUUUUAUUUUCGGUUUUUUAUUUUAAAUUAUUUUUUUCUUAUUUAUAUUUUUAAUAUUUUUUAUUUUAAUUAAAAAAAAUAGUUUUAUUUUUAUUUUCGUUUUUUCAUGGUUUUUCUUUUUUCUUAAUUUCGAAUUUUUUUAAAAAUGUUUUUUUUUUCUUUCCAGUUUUUUUAAAUAAAAACCACUCUAUAUAAACACGAAAACCACUCUGUAUAAAUAGUUAUAUAAACAUGAAAAUCACUCUGUAUAAUAACUAUAUAACAUGAAAACCACUCUGUAUAACAUACUAUAUAACAUGAAAACCACUAUGUAUAACAACUAUGUAAACUUGAAAACCACUAUGUAUAACAACUAUGUCAACAUAAAAACCACUCUGUAUAUACAGUUAUAUAAAAAUCUGUACAAUAAAUUUAUCACUCCGUAUAAAUUUAUCAAAGACAAAGCAUGACAUUAUGAAAACCACUCCGUAUAAACAACUAUAUAAACAUGAAAACCACUAUGUAUACACAACUAUAUAAACAUCGAAAACCACAAUGAAUUCUAACAAUAAAACAUCAAAUUUCAACAAAAAAAAAGCUAUGAAACCACUAUAAAGGACACCAUCUUCUCUCCAAUGAAUCUUCGAGCAUAAUCCGUGUAAUCAUCUUCUUCUCGUUAUUCCAUUGCGUCCUCAAAAUUUGAGCCAUAAACUAAUAUUGAUAUCCUGUAUAAAUUACCAAAAUAUUGAAAACUGGAUUCUUAAAUGCAUAAAAUAAUAUAAAAUUCAAAUAUCAUACUAACAUCCCUCGUACAAAAUUACAAUAUAUCUAGGAAAAUAGAAUUCCCAACGUGUGGCAAUGAAUAUCCAUUACCAAAAAUUAUGAGCAGAUUUCGCCUAAUUUAUCCUAUAUAUCCUAAUAAUGACUUGAAUUAGAAAGGAAGUAACGCAAAAAGAUUUAGAAAAAAAUAUGAAAUACUAGAACAAAAAAAUCUCAAAUUAUUCAGUAAUUUAAUCUAGACCUUCGGAAAUCUAUGGAAUAGUAUACGAACAAUUAUCUGAUAAAGCAGAAAAACAGAAAUAGUAAAUGAUUAGGGCUCUGUUGUGCUUCACUAGAAGGUUAAGUUGAAACUUAAUCAAAAUGAACAUGUAUAACCUUGUAGAAAAGAUCUUCCACUUCUCGCUCCCGAAUGUCACUGGGGAGGUUACCGACAUAGAGAGUUCUGCUAGAGCGACUCAUCCUUGCUACAGAAAAUCAAGCAAAAAAAUAAUAAAUAAUAAUAAAUAAGAAAAAAUAAAGUAAGAGUACAUAAUCUACAUGAUUACAAUUGCAGAAAACAAAAUCAAUGAAUAUGGCGAUAAAGAUUGUCUCCGGGAGGCUGGAAUUGGAGUUUACCUUGAAGAACAGACGACGGAGAAAAUUAACCCAGCUUAGAAACGGACCGGAUGGUGUCGAAUCAGAAUAUUCUAGGGUUUUGAAUUGAUGUAAACAUAAUUUCGAACACAAAAAAAAAAAAAAAAACAUGACUAUUAAGAACUUACAGAGUUUGCGUAAUAGCACGAGAACCACUCUGUGUGUUGUUAAUAUGAAACGUUCUGGUCCUACAAUCGGAUCGGUAGAAGAAGUGUGGAAAAAAUACAGAGAUAGCUAUGAAACGGUUUCUCUGUAAUUAAGGGCCGCAAUCGUGGGAUUAUAUGAGGAUGUGUUGUUACGAUAAAAUAGGAAAAUAUAUUACAAAUCUUUUUUAAUUUUUUUUUUAUUUCCAAUCAUAAAACAUACGUUACUUUUAAGUUGGGGGUAUAAUAGUGAUAAUUUAUUAUUUUUUAUUAUUUAAUAAUUAAAUGGAUUUAUCUCAAAAAGUUCUAAAAAAAUUGUACCUACUGUAAUUAGACUUGUGUAAUGGGGGACUUUUGACAAAUAAUCCCUAUUUUAAUAAGGAUGGAUCCAGCUCAUUUUUCUUUAUUAGUGAGAGACCCAUCCUUUUUUUAUUCUCAAAUUUACCCUUCCUCUAUUCACUAAUUAUUAUACACUACUUUGAUACACUUUUUUAUUUUUUUAUUUUUUUUUUAUUUUAAUUUUAAUUUUCGUUUUUUUAUUUAUUUCUUAUUUAAAAAAAAUAUAUUUUUUUAACUUUUUUAUUAUAUUUUAAAAAAAUAUUUUUUUACUAUAUUUUUUUGUUUUCACUUAAAACAACUAUAUUUCAAUAAAACAACUAUUAUUAAAACAACUGUUAUUAAAACAACUAUAUAUCUCCAACAACUCUCAUCUAUCAAAAUCAACUAUUACAUUCAACUAAAAAGUAAUAAAAACAACUAUAUUGCUGACGAAAACAACUAUAUUGUUGUACGAAAACAACUAUAUUGAUGUACGAAAACAACUAUAUUGUUGUACGAAAAUAUCUAUAAAUCUGUAAAUAACACCACACAAUUUCAACAAAAACAAAACCUACAUUAUACUAUUGAUUGAACACAAAAUUAGCCUUCUGUAUAAGAAUUCAACCAAAAACUCCAAUUAAGAAAAUUAAGAUUCGAGAAUUGGAUUCAAAAAAAAAAAAACUCAGAGAAGAAGAAGAACAACAACAACAAUGAAACAAUGUGGCGGUGGUCUGUAUUGAAAUCUCAGACGCAAUAUCAACCCUAGCGCCGUUGCACAAUCUCGUCUUUCUCCCUAGCGAAAACCCAAACGCCGUCCUUGACGAGAGAAUCCCAGGGGUGAAGACCGACUUCUUUUCGCGUCGGUGGAGGGAGGAACGCGUUGGGAGAAGAGAGUAACGAUGGCGGCGCAGAGAUGGAAGAGGGUUGGAGGCGGUGGCAGAACACAGAUGGAAGAGAGUUGGAGGCGGCCGAUAUGUAGAGAGAAAAGAGAGAGAGAAGAAUAAGAGAAAUAGAGAACGUGAAAUAGGUUUAAUUAUUUUAGAUAUAAUAGGGCAAAUUAGGUAUAUUAGUAAUGUCUAAAAUAAUAUUAAUUAAAAAAAUAUUAUUUAAUAUAAGAUGGGGAGUUUUCACUAAUAAUGAAAAGGAGGUUAUAUCCACCUUAAUAUAAGUAAAUGAAUUGGGGGGUUUUCACUAAUUAUCCCAAUAAAAUAAUGGUCAAGAAAAGGUGUUCAUUAAAUAACACACACAUUACAAAAACACAUAAUACUCAAAAGGCAAGCUAAGCAACAUUUGCAAAUAAAAAACCACAUUUAUUCAUAACAAGUAAGUGAAUAUCGAGACUUCUUUGGACCCGUCUAUAGUAGCUUUGCUUAGAAUUAAGUUUGCGGCGUGCUGAGGGAGAGGCUGCAGCAAAGGAUAAAGCUGGAAAGAAUAACGCCGUAAAAUCAUAACAAGCGCCAUUUUAGCUUCCAAAAUUGCAAAAUUAAGUCCUAUACAUCUCCUCGGUCCAUAACCAAAUGGGAAAUACGAGAGUUGCCCUUUUGUUGCUUUUGAGACGCCUUCGCUGAAUCUGUUGGGAUUAAAUUAAUUUGCAUCGUGGCCCCACGUUUUUUUUGUCAUGGUGAAUUUGAAUCACAGGCAGGAAGCGUCCUUGUCAGCGGUUCAGCUAAGAAGGAUCCCUGGUGGAUAUAAUCUUAGAACCUGGUGUAGAAUCAUGGAUAACUGCAUGAAUGCUUGUAAUCGUUACCCUUGAAUCCGAUUCGAAGACAUAAUUUUCAAGAGAAAAAGGAUGUAUAAAGAGUUUUCUUUACAAAUCGUAGAACAAUUCCAUCAAUGCAUUAUGUUGAUUAAAAUUUUUAUGUGUAUAUAAAAAUCAAGCUGAAUUUGUGUUUAGUUCGAUUAAAGCUCGUUCAAGCUCAAUUUUGACUGAUAGUCAAACAAAGCUCAAAAACGCACCUGCCAAUAAUAAAUUGGCAUUAGUGAUACCUUAAUUGUGAUAAUAUCAAAAGUUAUCACUAAUAGCUGAAAGACACACAACAUUUCGUAUGGUGUCACUAAUAGCUGAUUUUGUUGCAAUAUAUAUAAUCAUUUGUAUUUUCACUAUAUAGAAGUAACAAUCAAUUUUUACAGCCACUACAUACAAUUAGUGGAUAGCCUAUCACUGCAACAUUUUUUGCCUAAUCAUGUAAAAAUAGGUGUUGUCACUAAAAGACUAUUUCUUGUAGUGACAACUUCUCUAUAAGUUUAAACAAGUUUGAAUAAUCAUAUGCUCUGGCUCAAUUGAAUUCGAUUGACUUACAUCCUAAUUAAUAUUGAUAUCAACACGUCAUUAUAUAUGGAUGCGAGUUUCGAUGAUGCAAGACAUUGUACAAUAGUCUAAGAACAAAACUUACUAUUUUGAGGUGAUUUAGCUCUUGAAAAUCUCGCUUUCUUGUCCCAAAAGUUUCUAGAACCUCCUCUCUGCCACGAGACUGCCAAUCUGAAUGCUUACUCAAUAAAAUCAUCGUCCGGACAAGCGAGGACUAGAUUGUCUCUUGUCCAGUAAAGUAGAAAUGUUUGCACUCCUCAAUAACUUUCUUGAUACUCAUUCCGAAUUUGUCCCCAUUUCAUUGGAUUUCCUUUAAAUUGGAAUCCAAUAGAAUACCCAGCAAGUCAUCACCACCAUGGCUAGCUUCCACUGCUUUCAUUCCCUUAAUUCUCUUAUCAAUAAUGCCACGAAUAGAGGAAUCCAUUUCCUUCCAAUUUGCUUCAUCCUUGUGUUGAUCUUUGUGGGCAACUGCAUAUACAUAACAGAACAUACAGUAGAACCUCGAUAAAUUAAUACUCAAUAAAAUCAUAUCCUCACGUAAAUAAUAUUUUUUUCCCAUACAUGGUAAAUUUUUAAUUCAAUAAUUUAAUAUUUCACUAAUUAUUAGACUGAAGGGUUUGCAUGAUAAGCGCAGCUUGUUCUGUCCGAAGCUGGAUUAUCUUUAUUCCUUGUUUAUAGCUACUGCCAAAGCAGUGCAUGAAAUAGCAUUGCUCAUCAAUGUUUGGAGAUACGGCACACGAAGGGCCGGCCCAAGGCAUAACCUAUAGGCGGGAAGGGCCUUCGCCUUGGGCCUCCAAAAAAUAGAACGUUUUAGGGGCCUCCAACAUUUGAAAUGUCAUAUAUAUAUAUAUAUAUAUAUAUAUAUAUACCACGUGCGUUUGCACGUUAUUAUAACAUAUGAUUUGAAUUAAUACAUAACUUAUGAUUAAUUAAUAAAAGUUACAUACUAUAUUUUGCAAAACAUAUAUUUUAAAAUAAUAUUAAAUAAGUAUAAAAUAUCAUAUUCUACUCAUGUAUUCAAACGUAUGAUAAAAUAAAAUUAUUAUAAAAUUGAAAUCAAUAAGAAUCAAAUUGAAAAUUAAAAGUACAUUAAGUUUCUAAUACUCAGCUAAACUUUUUUGUACAUGAAUAUUCACUUACAUGUUUAUGAUAUAUCACUGAAAAACUCUAUUAUGAGUUUUGUAUGAAAUAAAUUUUAUUUAAAAAAUUAAGAAAAUAAACUUUGACUUCAGAAAGAAAUUAUAAUAUAUGAAAAAAUGAUCAUACUUUUAAUAUAACAUAAGAUAAAUAUAUUAUUAUUGGUAUUAGUAAAUAGUAAUCAGUUGAGUUUACGCUAUUUUAGUUUUAUAUUUUUGGAAUUUACGUAAUAACAAUUAUACAAGAAUUAAUUUAAUAUUCAAAACAACUUUUGGUAUAUAAUUCUAAACUUAAAACAAGAGGAUUUAUUUUAAAUAGUAUUGCACAUAAAUAUGCUUGUAAUAUUAAGAUCAUUGGAAAACUCUUGAUUUGUAAGUCUAAAGAAGAAGAAUUGUUGACAUUUAAUGUAUAAUUACGAUAACCAAGAAAAAAAAAACUUUUAACAUAUUUUGUAGUAUACUAACGGGCCCUUGCCAUUAAAAUUAUAUUUACUUAAAAGUAAAUAACAUACAUUAUCAUUUAUUAACUUAUUACGUUUUUAUGUUUUUUUUACAUGAUUAACUAUUGUUAUGUUUGUGCUAAAAAUGGUAUUUUUCAUGAACUUUCAGUGAAAAAUGAGGUUGUAGAAAGAAGGAGUAUAUAUGAUAUUUCUCGAAAUGGCCGGUGUUAUGUUAAAUGCAAAAAUAUUUCUAAGAAAUUUUGGGCUGAAUCUUUAAACAUGGCUUGACAUAUUUCUAAUCGUGUUUAUAUGAGAACAUGUUGUAUACUGACACCAUAUGAGAUAUUCAAUGGUAAACAUGUAUAUUUGCUUAUCUAAUUCUGUUAAACAUGAUCAUUCUAGUCUUUGGCAUACAAGGUUAGGUCACAUAAGUGCCAGAGGGCUUGAGUUAUUGCAUAAAAGCAAUUAUCUUUAUAAUGACUGUGUGUCUGAUCUGCCCAUAUGCGACUCAUGCAUUUUAGGAAACAGACUAAAGUCCAAUUUCCUGUCUCAUUUCCCUAAUUCUUCUAAAUGCACUGAUAUCGUUGAAUACAUACAUGCUGAUGUGUGGGGCCCUGGCCCAGUUCAAUGUCAUGGUGGUAAUAGAUAUUUCCCCUCUGUGCAUGGUUGAUGAUUUUUCCAGAAAAGUGUUUGUAUUCUUGCUGAAAAAUAUGUGUUUCAAAGAUUUAAAGCAUGGAAAGUUUAAAUUUAAAAUCAAACUCCAAAGAAAAUUAAAACCUUGAGAACAGACAAUGGAACUGAAUUAUGUAAUGCUGAAUUUGAUGCUCUGUGUGUUGAGUCUGGCAUAAAGAGGCAUAAAACUGUAGCUUACACCCCUCAGCAAAAUGGUGUUGUUGAGAGGAUGAAUAGGACAUUACUUGAUAGAGUUAGGUCCAUGUUAGAUGCAUCUGGCUUAUCUAAAAUGUUUAGGGGUGAAGUUGUUUUAACUGCUGUAUAUGUGAUCAACAGAUCACCUUAUGUGCCUUUACGUGGUGAAUUACCUGAAACUAAGUGGUCUGGUAUUCCUGUUAGUUUGUUUAAUCAUAGAGUAUUUGGUUGCUCUGCCUUUGUGCACCAGAAACAUGAUAAACUUUGUCCCAGGUCUGUUAAAUGUGUAUUUUUGGGUUAUCCAAAGGGGGUUAAGGGUUAUAGGUGCUGGCUUAAGGGGGAACAGGGAUGUAAAACUGUGAUUAGUAGAAAUGUGAUAUUCAAUGAAAAUGAAUUUCCUUGUCUAUCUGUUGUUUCUUCUGAGUCUACCUCUACAGAGGUGGAGACUUCCCCUACUAUUCCUGUUCAACAUGAAAACGUGUCUGAUUCUGAUAGUGAAACUGAUAACAAUGUGCCUGAAAAUGAUAUAUUUGGUCAAAAUAAUAAUACUGAUGUGCCUUAUGUGGACAAUCUUGGUGAUUACCAACUUGCUAGGGAUAGAGGUAAAAGGAACAUCAUUAGGCCUCAUCAUUUAGAUGAGUAUCAGCUUGCUUCAUAUGUGUUUCAUGUUUUUGAGUCUUUGGAUGGUAAUGAACCUAAGUCUUAUAGGGAAGCUCUUAAAUCUAAUGAAUCUGUCUCUUGGUUAAAUGCUAUGAAUGAAGAAAUUGAAUCUUUGCAUGUUAACCAUACUUGAAUUCUUGUGCCAAAACCUGUUGAAUGCUCUUUAGUUGAUUGUAAAUGGCUGUUUAAGGUAAAUAAUAAAUCUGAUUUAAUCAGAUAUAAGGCUAGGCUAGUGGCUAAGGGGUUCACCCAAAAAGAAGGAAUUGAUUACAUAGAAAUAUUUGCUCAUGUUGUGAAAUUUACCACUGUGAGAAUAAUGCUUGCUCUAAUUGCUCAAUUUGAUUGGGAAUUAAAACAAAUGGAUGUGAAAACUGCAUUUCUCCAUGGUGAAUUAGAUAAGCAAAUAUACAUGAAACAGCCUGAAGUUUUUCUUGAUAAGAAACAUCCUGAUUAUGUGUUGGGUUUAUUGAAAAAAUCCUUGUAUGGUCUUAAGCAGCCCCCUAGACAGUGGAAUAAGAAAUUUGAUGCAUGCAUGAAGUCCUUGAAAUUUUUUAGAAGUUCUUAUGAUCCAUGCUUGUAUUUCAAACAAUCUGCCCAAAUUCAUGUUUUGUUGCUCCUUUAUGUGGAUGAUAUGCUUUUGACUAGUCCUUGUAUUAAAACAAUCAAUUAUGUCAUUAAAUUUCUUAGUGAUGAAUUUGACAUGAAAUUGCUUGGUAAUGUUAAAAGGAUACUUGGCAUGGAUAUAAUCAGAAAUAUAAAAUGUUGUUCAUUGUUUCUGAAUCAAUCUUCUUAUACUGAAAAAGUCCUUGAGAAAUUUUCUAUGCAAUCUGCAAAACAUGUAUAUGUUCCUCUUGCUGCCCACUUUAUGCUAAGUAAGGAACAAUGUCCCAAGACUGAACCUGAAAUGUCUGAAAUGAAGAAUGGACCUUAUGCUAAUGCUAAAGGGUCUGUUAUGUAUUUAAUGGUCAGCAUUAGACCAGAUAUUGCUUAUUAUGUGAGUUAUUUUAGUAGAUACAUGUAUAAUCCAGGUUUGCCUCAUUAGGAGGCUCUUAAGUGGUUGCUUAGAUAUUUAAAAGGAUAUGUUAAAACUGGCUUGUUGUUUUCUAAGUGUAAACCUGAUAGUGAACUCUGUGGGCAUGUGGAUUCUAAUUUUGCCAAUGAUAGGGAUACCAGAAAAUCCUCCACUUCUUAUGUGUUUACUUUAAAUGGUUCAUGUGUAAACUGGAAAUCUCAGCUUCAAACCAUUGUUGCUCUGUCUGCGGACUGAGGCAAAGUAUGUAGCUACUACAGAAGCCUUUAAAGAAGCUAUAUGGCUGAAAGGUCUAUUGCUUGAAAUUGGUUUCUUGAGAAACAAAGUGGUAGUUUUUUCUGACAGUCAAUCUGGUAUUCAAUUGUUCAAAAGCCCUGUCUUCCAUGAUAGAACCAAACAUAUUGAGAUCAAAUUUCAUUUCAUUAGGAGAAUUGUGGAGGAAGGGAUUAUUUAUCUUGAAAAAAUCCCAUCAGAGUUCAACCCUACUGAUAUGGGAACUAAGUGUUUACCAAUUGAGAAAUUUCGUUCUUGUUUGAAAAACUUGAACCUAAUUUCACAAGAUUAAAUUGAUGUGUGCUUUUGUUACAGUCUGUGUGACUGAUUUUUUAUGUGCUUUAUGUGUGAUUGCUUGUAUGCAUGCUUUUCUUUGUGAACUGCAAUGUGUCUAUCUGUGUGAUCUAGUUCUGACUUUCUGUGUGAAAGCGGAAAGAUAUACUAAUAUUACUUUGUGUUUUACAUGUAUAUCAAAAAAACAAUGAUGACUUCCGACAACCAUAAAUUCACUAAUGAUACACUUUGGUCCAAGGUGGAGAUUUGUUAAGGUUGUGACCCAAUGUGUUUGGACCUGUAGCCCAAAUCUCAAUGUUACUUGCACACACACGCAUUACUAGAGAAUGGCCCAUUAGAUACUAAAUCCCAGUUGUGGGAAGCCACUGGAAGGAUGAACUUGAGCCGUUGGAUUUGUCCAACUCAUCCUAGCCAUUGACUCUUUCUGACUCUCCCUCUCCCUUUGUACUCUCUCUUUCCCGUUUUGUGCCCUAGACAGCCUAUGUUCUUCCCCUUUGUCCCCUUCUGCUCUUUACUCUUUUUGCUCCAGCAACCAUGGGCCAAACGCCGCCGUCCUUGGCCGUGCUUGUCCCAGUGGUGGUCCAUUCAACGGUUACCUUUGACUGGAGCACCUAUUUAAUGUGGGGAUUGAAGUGGCAGAAGGUAAGACCUAGAGAGAAACCCUAAUUUCAAAAACCUGAUCCAUCUCUUCUGUGAGUUGGCUCUAUGGUGAGUGGAUGAGUUGCUGAGUGCCUCGUUUUCAGGGUGUUACCUCUUAUCUGAGUGGGUUAGGGUUUGAGAGAGAGUGAGAGUGUGAGAGAUCUAUUCUCUGUUGGUGCAAUCUUAGUCUGUGUGUGUGUAAGCCUUGAGAUCUCUGUGAAUCUCUGGUGUGAAUCGGUUUGGAAGACUGAGUUGUGUUUUAUCCUAUAUCAUCUUUCAAUCGUUCUUUCUUAUUCAUAUGUGUUUACAUAUGAUUUAUUCAUCUAACGUUUAUCUGAGUUGCCUGUAGUAAGUUUCUUCAAGUGGAAACAUAAUAUGACAAAACAAUUAUAAGAGAUUUAUUAUAAUUCCAUUUUACUUUUUCUUCAACUCUUCUGGAGUUUUACUUUAUUUCAUUUUCCUUCGGGACUCCUACUAAAUUUUACUACAUAAAUCAUUUGUAUGGAAUUAUUCAAAGGAAAACAUACCUUAUAAUACAUUUAUCAAAUAUUGGCAUCCAAUGAAUUGAUUUAUUUUUUUGAAAUCCAUAGUAAUAAAUCCGUCAUUUAAUUUGUAUUGAAUAAUUUGAUGGGAGAAUUUCAAAUCCGUACUACUAUCUAUCAAACUAAAAUUAUUUGAUGAAUCAAUUUCUGUUAGAUUUCAAUCAUUAACUCUAUUUUCACUUAAUUUUAUGUUAUCGUGGUAGAUUUCAAAUGCAGUUUAAAAUAUCUUAAAACUCAUGUUUACAUUAUAUUAUGGUAGUAGUUUAAGUUAUUUAACUAAAAAAUAAGCAUUAAAACUAAAUAAACUUUAGUGUAGCUACACAAAACUAUUUUCAAUAGGAACAAUGUCAGACUUACUUCCAUAUUUGAAACCAACUUCAAGUGGAUUAGGACAAAGUCUUGAAAGAUCUACCACCAGGCCCGGCCGGGUAUUGCAGGGGAAACAUUUGCUUUGGGCCCCCAACUAGGAAGGGGCCCCCAAAAAAAAGAAAGUGUAUUAUAUAUAUUGCAAAAAUUAAAUAUUAUAUAUUCUCAUUUACAUGAUCGGCAGAAAAAAAAAUUGCUUCUUUUGUUUUGUGGGCCCAAAGCUCUAAAAGUCAAACAUCAAUUAAAAAAGAAUAGUACUGUACUAGCAAACAAGUUAAACAAUUACAAAACCUAUUUUUCUAACUUUUUCGGUGGCUGCGGCGGUUGCAGGGGAAUUGCUUUUCCCAUUCUUCAAAUUCUGCAUACAAGGUUUGUGUUCUUUAAUUUGAGUAUUUGACAUAUAAUAUACAUAUAAUUUCUUGAAUAUAGGACCUUUUCUUGCAUCAAAUUUUAACAAAGCUAAUAAAUUAUUAUAUUCAAGUAUGAUUUUUUUUCUUAUUAUAAUAUAGUACUGGUUUUUUUUUUUUGUAGACUAAAUUCUUUGGAGUUUGUCCGGUGUCCUGAAUUGAAAUUGCUAAUUAUGGGUCCGCGAAAAUAUGUGUGGGAAUGAUAAAAAAAAAAAACAAAAAGUUGAAGAUUUUGUGCAAUCUAUGGCUGGUACAAUUGAAAAGUUUAUAACAAGGGGCAAUAAUACAGUAAGUUCGGGUUCAAAGUCAGUUGAGAAUUCGAUGAACACUGAUUUUUCAAUUGAGGCGGAAUCUGAUUUAAAUAUUGAGGAACAACAUGAAGAUCAAGUGAAAGAAGAACGUGAUAUCUUGGUGAACGAAGAACCUAACGAAGAACCUAGUCAAAACAAUGAUGAAAAUUCGAAUGAGGAUAAACAAGAAGGUUGUGAAGCAGGGCCUUUGAACAUCGAUCCCGGAAAUUGGGAUAAGAUUGAUCACAGUCUGAGAAAUAUUUUGGUAGAAAGAGGGCCAAUAAGAAUAACAGAUGAUGAUGUCACUUUUCCUAAAGAUAGGAGUGGUAGACAUUUUUCUUGUACAUUUUAUGUCCGAGAUCUGUUAAAUGGGGAGAAACCAGAUAGUAAAUGGUUGGUAUAUUCCCUUGUUGAAGACAAAAUAUUUUGUUUUUGCUGUAAAUUGUUCAAGCAGGAUAAAGUCAUCUCUCGUCUAACUGCUGAAGGAUACAAGGAUUGGAGAAAUAUUGGUAAAAGACUUAAAAGUCACGAAACCAGCAGAGAACACCUUACAUGCAUGAGUAAAUGGAUUGAUUUGCAGAUGAGACUGAAAAAGUACGAGACAAUAGACAAGAGUUUGCAAGUGCAAAUCAAUAAAGAGAGAGAACAUUGGCGACAAGUAUUAUUGAGGAUAAUUGCUCUGGUGAAAACACUUGCUAAUAAUAAUUUAGCAUUUCGUGGAGAUAAUGAGAAAAUUGAUCAAGAGAACAAUGGCAAUUUUUUAAGCUUUAUUCAGAUGAUUGCAGAAUUUGAUCCAAUUAUGCAAGACCACCUCCGGCGUAUUAAGGGUGGAUCGAUUUAUCAUCAUUACCUCAGUCACAAGAUUCAGAAUGAAUUGAUUCAGAUGUUAGCAGAUGAAACUAGAAGUGCAAUUGUGAAAAUCAUCAAAGAAGUGAAAUACUUCUCCGUAAUACUUGAUUGUACUCCUGAUAUUAGUCACGAAGAACAAAUGACUCUGGUGGUUCGAUGCGUAGAUAUUUCAGCAGUGCCGGUAACAAUUAAAGAAUUUUUUGUGCAAUUUUUGAAAGUGGAUGACACAACAGGUUUGGGCCUUUUAAUGUACUUAAUGAUGUAUUGAACACUCUUGAACUUGAUAUUGCCGACAUAAGAGGUCAAGGUUAUGAUAAUGGGGCUAACAUGAAAGGAAAACACAAAGGUGUUCAGAGAAGACUACUUGAAGUGAACCCGAGAGCGUUUUAUACACCAUGUGGUUGUCAUAGUUUAAAUCUUACACUUUGUGAUAUGGCUGGUUGUUGUACCAAAGCUGAAUCUUUUUUCGGAGUAGUGCAGCGUAUUUAUACUUUGUUUGCAUCUUCUACAAAGCGGUGGGAUAUUUUAAAACGUCAUGUUCAAGAGCUUACACUUAAGCCAUUGUCUCAAACUCGAUGGGAAAGUCGUGUUGAAAGUCUUAGAGCUAUUAGAUACCAAGCACCAAAAAUAAGAGAUGCAUUACUUGACUUGACAAAUAGUAGAUAAGACGCCAAAACAAAGAGUGAAGCUAAUUCUUUGGUCACUCAUGAACUUGAGAAUUUUGAGUUCUUGUUUGGCAUGAUUAUCUGGCAUAAUGUGUUGUUUACUGUAAACGUUGUUAGCAAAAUUCUUCAAGCUGAAGAUAUGGAUAUUGAUGUUGCUAUCAAACAACUUAAGGGAUUAAUUUCCUUUUUUGAGAAGUACAGAGAAAGUGGAUUUUCGGAGGCAAAGGCUGAAGCAAAUGAAAUUGCAAACGAGAUGGGAAUUGAUCCUGUAUUUUUCUGAAAAACGCAUCAUUCAUAGAAGAAAACAUUUUGACGAAAGUUGUAGUGAAGAUGUGUUACAAUAAACCGAAGAAUGCUUUAGAGUGAAGUACUUUCUCUAUGUGGUAGAUCAAGCGCUUCUGUCGCUCAAUACCAGAUUUGAACAACUUCAAAAAUAUGAUGAAAAUUUUGGUUUUUUGUUCGACUUCAAGAGACUAAAAUCGAUUGAUGAUGAGGCUUUAAAUACUUACUGUGUCAACCUUGAAGAGUAUUUGAAACACGACACUUGUGAUAUUGAUGGGGUGGAUUUAUGUAUGGAGUUAAAAAUCUUUAGAUAUAUUUUACCAGAAGAACUGAAAAGGCCGAUUUAAGUGUUGAAUUAUUUGCAGGUUAUAGGCGGUGGUUUUCCGAAUACAUGGAUUGCUUACCGGAUUUUGUUGACGAUUCCAGUUACUGUUGCAUCAGCUGAAAGGACAUUUUCAAAGUUAAAGUUGAUUAAGUCUUACCUCCGAUCAACCAUGUCGCAAGAAAGAUUAAACGGACUAGCGAUGUUGUCGAUUGAGAAGGAUAUGGUACGAAAGAUUGAUUAUUCGAGUGUUAUUAGUGAUUUUGCUUCAAAAAAUGCUAGAAGGGUAAUAUUUAAGUAUUUAAUUGUAUUGAAGGUUUAUCCUCCUUUAUUGAUUUAAUUAUCUAUGACGAAAUAGUUUUAUUUGUUCAUCAAAAUUACUCAAUCUACUGUGUUUUUGCUUCACCAUGUUUCACUGCUUAAUUUUAUAUGUAUAUAGUAGUUUCCUUUUUUAUUGUUUAAUAAACACCUCUAAUGUAAAAAUAUAUUAAUUAUGAAAAAGUUCAAUAAUAUUAUCGGAAAAAUGGACAUUAUUUCAAAACUUGCUUAGGGCCCCCAAAUUCGAUGGACCGGCCCUGUCUACCACCUUAUAUGAACUGUAUAUUAUAUCCUUGCUACUCACGAAUCUUUUGCAAACAGUUUUGGGGUUGUCUAGGGUCCGAGAUGGGUUGUACUACUCGGACCGAAACGAUUUAAUAUAGUGCGUAGAAAAUAUUUAGUAAAAAUUUAUAGUCGUUGAUUUAAAGUACGAACUAGUACGAUCCAGUACGAACCUAUAAAUUUAUAAAUUAAAGUACGAACCCAAUAAAAAUAGAUCGUACAAAGGUCGUACUCCAUCGUACUUCAUGUAAAAUUACUUUAUUAACCUUACAUUAUUAAACCACAAAAUUAAAAGUAGGGUUAACUGUACUUUGCCCCUAACUUUGGUCAUUUAUGCACUUUGCCCCCCAAAUAAAUUUUUUUUUUCCACGAUCAUACCUUGACUAACUAAUUUAGCCCAAUUUCACCAAUGAACCAAUUUUUUACCAUAAUUUCAAUUUUGACCCCAAUUUUAACUCGCCACCACCGGAGACCGCCAGAGACCCACGGUCUCCGGCGUUAACUCUUUUUUUUUUUUUCAAAUUUUUUUUUUUGUCUGAAAUUCUUUUCGGGUAGCUCAAUCGCAGGGUCUCCGGCUUCGAUUUUUUUUUCUUUUUAAUUUUGUUUUUUCUAAAAAAAACUAUUUUAACUAAUAUUAAUGUAUUGGUUGUUAAAUUAUUGUCUUCAGCAAUUACUUAACUGUCGGAGAGAGUAAUUUAAUGUUAAUUAACCUUUUUUUUCUUAAAAAAAAUAUAUUAAUUAAUAUUAUUAUCUUGACUACUAAAUUACUGUCUCCACAGUUAUUUAAUUGUCGGAGACAGUAAUUUAACUGUUAAUUGAUUUUUUUUUCUUAAAAAAAAUAUUUUAAUUAAUAUUACUGUCUUGGCUACAGUAAUUUAGCUUUCGAAUACAAUAAUUUAACUGUUAAUUGACUUUUUUUUUCAAUUUUGUUUUUUCUUAAAAACAAUAUUUUAAUUAAUAUUACUGUCUUGGCUCAAAAUUACUGUCUUCAACAGUAAUUUAACUGUCUGAGACAAUAAUACUACUGUAUUAAUUAAUUUUAUCGUCUUGGCCUGCAUUAUUGUUGUCUUCGACUGUAAUAUUAUUGUCUUCGACCGUAAUAUUACUGUCUCAAGCAAUAAUGUCACUGUUUGGGACAGUAAUAUUAGUAAUAUUACGGUUGGGGAAAUAAUAUUCAUAAUAUUACUGUCCGAAACAGUAAUAUUAUUGUCUGAAAUAGUAAUAUUACUGUAUGAGACAGUCAUUUAGUAGGCAAGAUAGUAAUAUUAAUUAAAAUAUUUUUAUCUAUGAAUUUGUUUUUCAAAAACGAAAUUAAAAAAAAAGUCAACGUCGGAGAGCGGCGGUCAACUACGGUUGACUGCCGGAAAAAAAAAUUCAGAAAAAAAAUGCUUUAAAAUAAAAAAAAUUCAAUGCCGGACAACGCCCGCCAGGUCAACGCCGGAAUCUGGCCGGAAAAAAAAAAUUAAGAAAAAAAAAAUAUUUUCUAAUAAAAAAUAUUUUUCAAAAAAUUAUUAAAAUGGGGGUUAAUGUGAUACAUUUGUUUAAAUUCUGGGUCAAUGUGUAAUAUUAAGGAAGUUAGAGUAUAAUGGAUGAAAUUGAUAAAAAAUAUAUUAUGGAGGGUAUUUUAGAGUAAAGACUUGGUGGUGAUGGGUUUAUUUGAAAGAUUGUUGUUUAUGUGGACCAAUGUGCAUUUAAGUCCCUUGUCAUGGCCCUAAUUAUUAAUUAUUAUUAAUUAUUACUUAAGUUUUAGUUAUAGGGGUUUUUAUGUAAUUUCACUUAUAAGGUAGGUAUCGUACUUUUUUUGUGGGGUUCGUACAAAUCAUACGUGUCACAUUUUUAUCGGUUGAUUUUCAAUCGUUUGAGUCCGAGUAGUAGAAUCCCUCUCGGACCCUAGACAACCCCAACAGUUUUAUGUCCGUUUUUUUAGCAUAAUCACAACAUAAAAUUGGUUAUGCCCAAACAUCUUGACACAUAAUUCUGGGGGAUUUUGGAGAUAUAUAUAUUUCAUUUUAGCGACUAUCGAGUAUUAUAAUAUUCUUAUUUUUCUCAAAUUUAGUAUUGUGAUAUGUGUCCUUAUACUAAAUGGAAGUAUUCAUGAAUAACAUGUUUUAGUCGUACAAUUCACGUAAUUAUUUUUUGAGAGAAAAAAAUGGAUUUUAUUAAUCAACGUAACAGAAUAGCGGUUAUAAUAUUUUGGAUGAAAAUAAAGGUAGGUUCGUCUCAGAAUAUGGACCCUUAAGCGAGAGACGGGCUACUUCGUGUGUUGUUUGUAUACAAGGUUUCGAAUCAGUUUUCAGCUGCUAAGGUAUCAGCCACGAUUGCCCCAUGCGUGACAUAUAUUUUUCAUCUUCAUGUAUCACUAUUAUUACUGCACCCAAAAUUAAAAUCAUCAUCACAGUCAGGAUGGCCGAGUGGUCUAAGGCGCCAGACUCAAGUUCUGGUCUUCGAGAGAGGGCGUGGGUUCAAAUCCCACUUCUGACAUUUUUUUAUUAUUUUCAAUAUUGUGAUGAUACAUUAUAUUUUUUUAUUUUCAAUAUUUUGAUGAUAUAUUAUAUUUUUUUUAUGUUUAUAUUAUAUCUAGUUUGGAUUAUGUUAUGUUUCGGUUCUGGUAUUUGAUUAAUUAAAUUAUAUUUGUAUAAAUCCAACUAAUAAAAUUCAAUUUCCAGCCGAUUUAUUACAUGUAAUGUGUUAGAAGUACCCCUAACAAUAUAUAGAUAAAUAAAUCCCAAAAUAAUAUCCCAUAUUUUUCUCCUCCUUUGACCUAUAUGUACCCAUAUCUAGCCAUCAUAAGUAUAACUGCAAAUUUGAAAUUGCGAAUUCCACAACUUCAGAAAAUUGAUUUCUUCAAUACCAAAACAUAUACAAAACUGUAUGGCGACUUCCAUAGUUUUUUUAAGAGAAUGACACCCAAUGAGGGUAGGGGUUAGACUUGACCGGUUGACCCCGUACCUGUUUAUACAAGAAAAGUUAAUAAGUAAAUAAUGAGUUCCGUGCAACCUGCUACAACCCAAUAGAUGGCUAAUAAUAGCAACUGAUAAACAAAAGACAAUAUAUAAAUAUGGCAUAUGCCCGAAAUAGAAACCUAACAAAAUGUUAAGAAUACGGGGAAAACAGGUAGCCCAAAUAAUAACAAGGGCAAGAGUGAGAAUGAUCAUUGAAGGUCGGGAAAUCCCAAGGUAGACCGUUCACCUCACCACAACAGGCGAGGCCACUUACAGUUCCGCCAAAGGUAGGUGAAACAGGUAUAACGGCUGCAAAAUGUGUGGCACCAUUCGCCAAAAAUUCCAGUCCUGAUAGACCCAGAUAAUCAAUAAUCACUCCAACCCUGCCUAAUAUGUAAUGUACAAGAAACUACCUAGAUUACGUAGAAUUUUCAAGUAGAAGCUGCCAAUAAUAUAAAAACAUGGAAUGCAUGGCACCUAUGUGCGAGACCGUCGUCGAAAGGAUGGAUAUUCAAGCUGGUCCAUCUGAAUCAUCUGCUGCAUUAAUCAGGGAAGCUCCGCUUUUGUGAAGAUAUGAUCCAACUCGAUCUGAAAACCCAAGUUAGCUAAUGCAUCAACGAGUGUAUUGCCCUCCCGGUAGAUAUGUGGUACUCCAACGUAGAAGUAGAGUUCCGUAAUGUCUUGAGCAAACUCUGAAGACUCCAAUGACUUCUGUUCAUGUGCGAAAGAAGCCGAACAACUACUUUUGUGUCAAGCUCAGUUCAAACUCUAGUGAAUUGCCUCUGAAUAACAAAUCUCAAUCAUGAGGCAAGGGCAGCAAGCUCCGCCGUAAUACUGCUUCGGGGAGGGAUCCUCUCGUGAAAUGCAAGUAAGGUCUCAGCGUCUGAACUUCUGAUAAUACCGCGAAUAGCUGCAAUCUGGGUGGAUGUUCUACGGGCUCCGUCUGUGUUCAGCUUCAUCCAACCCGAAUUCGGGGGAAGCCAAUCAACUCGAUGAGGUGUGGGAGUUUGUGUUCGGGCUCGAUAAUAUAGGCCAAGAGAGUCAGCCACGUUGGGAAUGCCUGUCCAGUUGUCCCCCAAAAGUAAUUUGGUCUGAUGAAUAAUCCUCAUGUAUUGGAUGACCUUGAAAAUGAUGGAUGAAGCACGAACUGUGAUAUCCUUGUGCUUGUUGCCAUUCCUUGAAGUUUAUAAGAACCACAAGAUCAUGUAAGACACAAUGGUCGUGAUGUGUGUGUGUGGUGUGUGAGUGUGUGCGAAGUCAAGUGCUGCCAAUAAAGUAAAAUUUGGGGUAUGUGCGUAGUGUGUGCAUGUGUAUACCAAAAAGAUAGAAAAAAUAAUAUCAUACCCUCUUAGCUGUCAGGCUCUCCAUGAAUAUAUGAUCGAUCGACUCAACGGAAGGAGACUCGACAAAGACAUAGAUGGAUCUGGACAACAAUAGCACCUCGAGACUGAUGUUUAAAGGCCCAAGUCGAGGUCAAGGAAAACUUGGCAUCCGAUGAAGUUCUCCGAAUGGAAAAAUCACCCGAAACACCACAGAUCGGGACCGAGCAAAUCAUAUCAAUCCACUCAAAAGCAAUAUCCUCAUCAAGCUUGUUCCAAUCCCCUUGACCAUCCACCAAAUAAUACUCCACUCGAACUGACGUAAACCAACAACCAUCAAUAAUACCCGAAAGGGGGCCAUCGCCAAACUAGUGGUCGUGCUAGAAGUUAACAUGACUAUACCCAAUCCGCCAAAAUAUAUGAGCAUGAACACGCUUACGGACACGGCAUGCGCUUUCACUAUGAAUUAAUGUAAUCCUCUAUGAACCAAACUACAAACAUAAUUAACAAAAAAACGUAAUCUAUUAUUAGAAACCUACAACAUUAUUCUGUAAACAUUCUUCUUCGUUCGGCAUUAAUUGAGGAUCAAAGAGAGACGCUCACAAGUCAUAAUUAUAUCUCUGAUUGAUGAUGGAUCAAGAGCAAACUCCCGAAGCAUUAAUUUAUGUGUAAAAAUAAUCUAUAUAUUCUGACAAUAGAAAACAUUGUCUUCUUUCGAAUGAACCCUUGAACAUACUUGACAUAAUCAUUUUUUUUUUAUCGUUCCAUUUUCCAAGCAUCACCAACCGAGCCCCCUGUCGCCAUCACUCCCGUUUGCUCGAGAGACUGAAGCGAAGAAAAAAAUAAUAAGGACAUGUUAUCAUUCAAGAAAAUUCAUUUUAAAAGGCAAGAAAUUGAAAUACACUAAAAAAAUAUCAUCAAAAUGCACUAAAAUAUCAGCAAAAUCCACUACAAAAAUAUUGAAAUCUAGUUAAAUAUUAACGUAAUCAAUUACAAAAUUAACCUAACCUACUAGAAAAAAAUUGCAAAAAAAACACAAUAAUUACCAAAAAAAAAACAAAAGAAAAAACCCUCAAAACGUAACAAAAAUAAUUAUAUUGGACACAUUCACUAAUACACAAACAGGCAUUGAUCCAUAUUCACUCAAUGCACACACAAGGUAUAAUCCACAUAUUUAACAAAUAUUAAUCUCCUAGUCUAUUAGUAAAAUAGAUAGCAUCUCUCAUGGAUUUUUAAUAUUUUGUUUUCUUAAACCUUGACAAAAAGAAAAAGAAAAAAGAUUCAAUUCAAGAUAUAAAUUCAAUUAAAAAAGUAACAAUAAUCAAUCAACAUAUAAACUCAAAUCUUCAAUUUUUAGUUCUGACCAUCACCAACAUCCCGUUGCAUGAAAAAACGCAUGUAUGCACGAAAAUAAAUUAAAAUUUUCGGCGAUGGAGAAAAAAACAAAGAGGCGAAGGAAACCCUAAUACACCUUUGAGCGAACCAGCUGCGGCCACAAUGGAACCGAAUCUUCCAGUGGUGGUUGUCGCCGCUUUAAGCGAGGUAGUCGGCUGCAAAGGAGUGACCGAAUUAUUAGGUGGAGGGGAGGAUUAUGCGUGAUAGAACGAGAGAGUAGAGAUGAGAUACAGAAAAAUGAAUGAAGAUGUAACGGUGGUUCAGUGCAAGACUAGGUUGAGCAUACAAUUUAAAGGUAUUAUAGCAUUAUAAUAAUUUAAUAAUAUAACAUUGAAGUUAAUGGAUUUAUCUCAAAAUGGGAUAAAAUAAAGGGGUCUUACGAUAUAUGUCUCUGGUGACAAAAUUAAUUAGAAAUAAAUGACAAGUCCAAUUAAACAUUCGCUUCACAUUUUUUUUUAAAUUCAUUCCAAAAAAUGCCCCUUCACUCACAAAUUCAAAAUUUUCACUAAGUAAAAUACAAACUGCACUUAUGAUUUUUUACUAUGCAUUUAAUAUCUUCAUUUUUUCUUUUUCUUUUUUGAGAAAAAUAUCUUCAUUUUUUCAUCUAACAUAUUUUUUCAUCUAACAUAUUUUUACAGACUUUGUAAUCUUUAAUAUUUCGUUUUUCACUCUGGUGAAUGUUUUACAUUACUAUAAACAACUGAUUUUUGUUUCCUUAUUUUUAACAUUUUAUUGAAAAUUACGAAAAAACAUAUUUUUCAUUUUUGUUAAAUAAUACAGCAUAUUUUAAAAUACUAUGGUAUACUAUGGUGUAUUAUAGUGAACUAUAGUUUACUAAUAUUGAAUUUAUGAAUGUUUUUAAAAAAAAUCGGUCGUUGUCAUAUAUAAACACCUAUAGGAUCCAUAGUAAUAUGUAGUCACAUACUCUUAAAACCCUAGCUCCCAUUUUGAACUCUAACCGCUACCCUUCCGUAGACACCAUAGUAAUCCAUAGACACUCGUAGUCAUUGGCACUCAUCCAAUAUAAAACCCUAGAUCCGCCACCACCUCUACAUAUAAAAAUGGAUCUCCGAAAUCUGCCUAUAAUCAUCGAACCUUUCAUCCUCUUCAUCUAUGUCUCACUCUCCAUCUUAAUUACCCUUCCUCUCCUGCAAACCCAACAUCAAAUUCCGACCAAAAAUUACCGUCGCCAUCGAAGAAAAUCACCGCCGACGCUAGCG
rnacentral:lncRNA from 1 species